AUGGGCGCAAGCCUGAUCCAGCAAUGCCGCGUGCAGGAUGAAGGCCUUCGGGUUGUAAACUGCUUUUGUACGGAACGAAAAGCCCUGGGUUAAUACCCUGGGGUCAUGACGGUACCGUAAGAAUAAGCACCGGCUAACUACGUGCCAGCAGCCGCGGUAAUACGUAGGGUGCGAGCGUUAAUCGGAAUUACUGGGCGUAAAGCGUGCGCAGGCGGUUUUGUAAGACAGAGGUGAAAUCCCCGGGCUCAACCUGGGAACUGCCUUUGUGACUGCAAGGCUAGAGUACGGCAGAGGGGGAUGGAAUUCCGCGUGUAGCAGUGAAAUGCGUAGAUAUGCGGAGGAACACCGAUGGCGAAGGCAAUCCCCUGGGCCUGUACUGACGCUCAUGCACGAAAGCGUGGGGAGCAAACAGGAUUAGAUACCCUGGUAGUCCACGCCCUAAACGAUGUCAACUGGUUGUUGGGUCUUAACUGACUCAGUAACGAAGCUAACGCGUGAAGUUGACCGCCUGGGGAG
rnacentral:rRNA from 1 species